rnacentral:rRNA from 1 species
GAUGAACGCUGGCGGCGUGCUUAACACAUGCAAGUCGAACGAAGCAUUUGCGACAGAUUUUUUCGGAAUGAAGUUGCUUAUGACUGAGUGGCGGACGGGUGAAUAACGCGUGGGUAACCUGCCUUGUACUGGGGGAUAGCAGCUGGAAACGGCUGGUAAUACCGCAUAAGCGCACAAUGUUGCAUGACAUGGUGUGAAAAACUCCGGUGGUAUAAGAUGGACACGCGUCUGAUUAGCUAGUUGGUGAGAUAACAGCCCACCAAGGCGACGAUCAGUAGCCGACCUGAGAGGGUGACCGGCCACAUUGGGACUGAGACACGGCCCAGACUCCUACGGGAGGCAGCAGUGGGGAAUAUUGCACAAUGGAGGAAACUCUGAUGCAGCGACGCCGCGUGAGUGAAGAAGUAAUUCGUUAUGUAAAGCUCUAUCAGCAGGGAAGAUAGUGACGGUACCUGACUAAGAAGCUCCGGCUAAAUACGUG